rnacentral:rRNA from 1 species
CGACGUAGGUAACCUGCCUGGUAGCGGGGGAUAACUAUUGGAAACGAUAGCUAAUACCGCAUAAGAGUAGAUGUUGCAUGACAUUUGCUUAAAAGGUGCAAUUGCAUCACUACCAGAUGGACCUGCGUUGUAUUAGCUAGUUGGUGGGGUAACGGCUCACCAAGGCGACGAUACAUAGCCGACCUGAGGGGGUGAUCGGCCACACUGGGACUGAGACACGGCCCAG